AAGGCAGGCCCGGGCGGGAGGGCGGCGGGACCCGGGCGGCGGCGGCUGAGGGGAGCCCCUGAGGGGCCGCCCGUUGCCCGAGGAGGGGAUGGUCGGCGGUAAAGCGGGGGGAGGUGGUGUCGUGGGGGGGGGGGGUCGCGCCUGCCUGAGGCGCCCCCUCAAGGUCCCCCGGUGGAGGCCGGGCGGGUGCUGAGGAGUGAUCGCUCCCCUCAGCGCCCCCCCUCGGUCCCCCGCACCCGGCAGCGGGGAGCACCCCCGGGUGGGCGCCCCUAUUCCCGGCCGGGGGCGCCGCGGCGGCUGCCCUUCCUCCGCAGCUUCUGCGGCCGCGUUUUCUUCGUGCUUUAACCCCCGGCAGCGCCGCCUCGGCCGGUCCCGGCGGGCAGCGCCGUGCCCCCGCCGCUGCUGAAUGAAUGGGGCCGGCGGGAGGGCGCCGGGCCCGGGACUCGUUCGCCCGUCGCUGGCAGCGCCGCUCUGCAGGCGACGUGGUGCUGGGAGCGGCUGGCUCGCAGGCUGCAGCUCCUGAACUUUCCCUCCCUCCUUCCCUCCCCCCUUUCCCUUCCCUUCCCACUGAGCUGCUCAGCGCUCCCGGCGGGCUGGCCCCGCUCCCUUCUCCCCUUUGUUUCCCUCUCCUCCCCCCUCCCCCGGUACGAGCCCGUUCUCCCUCCGGGCCGUGCCGCCGCCUUCUGCAGCCUCGGUGCUGCCGGCUGGAAGGGAGCGAGGCCGGGCCGGGGCCGGCAGUCUUCCCCGGCCUGCUCUGACGUGGCACCGCGGAAGAUCGGUUGGCCGUGUGUUGACGUGGAAUAACGUGCAAGUAUGCUCUGGAGCAGCUGCGUCUGUGAAGUAUUUGGUUAAGAAUGUGAGGAAUUAGUUUAGGUUGCAACCUGAAAAAACUGAGAAUGGGGAAAUUAAAUCUCGUUCCGCUUACAGGUAAGAGGAAGUACAGAUUCUCUAUGUUUUCAGGUUGCUUUUUGCAAAUCACUCGGUAGCGCAAAAAAAAAAAUCAUUGUAAAUGAAGGUUUUUGGUCUAGAACAGUCAUUUCUUCAUAUGUGAAGGUGUCAAGUAAAUGACUUCCUAGUUGAAAUACAAUGAUAGUGCAGAACUGUCAUUUCUGAGGCCAGGGAACCUAAGAUCUCUUCCCUAAAUGAGUGUUCCUGGCUCGAGCUCUGGUGGAUCAGGCAUUCUGUCUAGGUCUGUCUGGAGGGGAUCUGGCCCCCAACUGUUCUCUGGAAUUCUCUCCUCCUCCGUCAUACUUGAGAAAAGCUGCCAAGGCUACAAACGACUAAUGAGUUAACGAGCUGAAAAAUAAUCAUGUCUUACUGUCUGAAGAAGGACAAUGAGAAGUUCGGUGCAAGACUGAAAUUCUAAUAGCGAUUUAUCCAGGAGAUUCCUAAGUGACCUUUGGACACGAGGUUAUUUACACAGCGUAGUACAGCAUAACCCAGUCCCAUCUUUCUGUUUAAAAAGUGAUCUGUUGUUUUUCUUGGGUCAGUUAGGACUGAGGAUCCCUGUUAUUAGGAUUUUACUUGUAGGGAAGAAGAAUCAUAGCAGUCAUUUUUCGUACUGUGUUCUCCAACAGAGAGAAGUAAAGGGGCCUGUAUCACCCUCAGCUCUUCUCAUCACCAAAUCAGCCAGCAUCCUCUAACCCAAGUGCACCUGCCUGCCCUCGUUCAGUUGAAAAGCCUGCUUCAUCCUUUUUCCUCAGCAAAAGGCUGAAAUCCCUUUUGUGUGGGAUUGUUUCAUGGUGUCUUCUAUUUCUGCCUGUGUUUUUAGGAGUAAGUCCAGAUCCAUUGUACCUCUGAUAUUGGUGUCAGAGGCCUAAUGAGUUGGCUAGAAGGAGAACAGUGCCCCGGAGGAGCAUGGGGUUCUAUUUUGGGGGGCUUCUUCCUGUAGUGGUUUGUUGUUGUUGGUUGCGGUUUCUGAGGAUAAAAGUUUCAUAAAUAAAAAUUCUCAUAAAAUACAUUUUUAAAGUUCAUGACAAUAGCCCCUAAUGAGUUGCCAGUAACUGUUCAGCAGCUGCUCGAUGCUGUUAAUAGAGGGCUUCGUGUGAUUCCUUUACAUUGCGUGGUCAGCAGAGCAGAUCAUAAAUUAAAUAAAUGUAUGCCCCAUGGUUGUUGGUGACUAAGGAAACUGAGCAAACCAGCAGCUGGUUUAACUGUGUGCUUCUGAAGCAGUAGAAGCUUAGAAAACAAAUAGAGGCUUCUAAAUGAUUGCUAAACUGCAGGCUGUGAUCCAUGAAGAGCUGGCAAACCACAUGGUGCCGACUACUCUCAUCUAGUUGCAUCUGUGUGUGUCUGAGGCCUUUGUUCCAUGAGGAGCUAGGAGGCCUGUAAAAGCAGCUGGAGCUGAGCAGGAGGCAGCCUGUGUACCUCUGCCGCAACUCUUCUGCGAGCUCCUGCUUUCCGAAAAGAUGUGUCAGUCCUCAUUCCCUUUCCUAAGAAGCGAGUCCUCUAAUUGAGGAAAACUGAUGAGGCCAGGAUAACCUGCGUUAUGAAGCAGUCUGUGUUUUCAGUGUUUGACGAGCUUAAUCUAUUUCUUUUUUUCCUAAUUUAGUCAAUGUGCUAAAAAGAUAACAAGGGGUAAGCAAAUCAAGUCAUGAUUUCAGUGCUGGCAGGGCAACAAUUUUUUGCAUGAGUGGUUAUUUGAGUUUCCACAUCUAGAAUUCGAAAAAAAUGUUCGCCACUCCAAAUAACAGCUCAGAAAUAAUUACCAGGAGCUGUGGAGAAUGCUGCAGGUAACUAUGUUAUUGACUCUUCUGUCAUGAUUAGGAAAUUCAUGAGACUUGAAGAAUCCUCUGCUUUCAAACAUUGUCAUGUUCAGACUGUAUUUUCUAAUCUAUUCCAAGUCGAAUUAGAUUGUUUGCGCUGUGAAUUACUACCUGAAAAUUGAUUUGCUUUUCUCAGUGUCAUUUGUCAAAUGUUAAAGGUGACCUGCAGUUGUGAGGCUGUCAUAUGCUGAAUAUUCUCUUAAAAAAAAAAAAAAAUACAGGUAGUGAGUGUGUAACACUUUUGCUGGGUGAUGUAGCUGUCUCACCUGCUGUGGACCAGACUGUACUGUGUUGAAAACUUUAGAAAGUGUAUUGCCAUAGGUAGUUGCCAAUUUGUCUGUUUUCUCAGAAAAUACUGCUUUAGGUAGGUUUGGAAUUUCAUUUCUCUUUUUGAAGGAAAACCUUGCCUUUUAGUUGAUAAAUUUGAGUUUAGGGUUAGGUUGAUUUUUUAUGUCAGCAUUUUAUUAGCGGAAUCACAGGAGCCGUGGUUCUGUGACUGAUGUGGAGUUCAAGCUAAACAUACUAUUUUUUAUUAAAUUCUACAAAAAGUCUGUGAGGUUUCCAUGACCGUGUACAGACUGGCUUUCUGCAGGUCUCACAGCUGUGACGUGCAGCUUGUGCUCAGGUAAGUGGUGCAUAGACUCCAUAGCCAGGCUGCCUGAACGCCUCUGCUGUGCAGUCUGUCACGCCACCGAAAUCACAACAGCAACUGUGGUUGAUGAGAAAGUAUCCCAGUUUCAGCGCCGCUGUCCUCCUUGU